AUAUUUAUAUAAGGUUUAACCUGCCCAGUGAUUUUUUAAAUGGCCGCAGUAUAUUGACUGUGCGAAGGUAGCAUAAUCAUUAGUUUUUUAAUUGAAAGCUUGUAUGAAUGGUUGGACGAGAUAAAUACUGUCUCUAAUUAAUAGUUAGAAUUUAAUUUUUUAGUUAAAAGGCUAAAAUGUUUUUAAAAGACGAGAAGACCCUAUAAAGCUUUAUAUAUUUAAUUAUUAGUGUUUUAAAGAUUAUAUUUGAUUUUUGAUGGUUAAAUGUAUUUAAUUGGGGAAAUUAAAAGAUUAAAUUAAUUCUUUUUUUGUUAAUAAACAUUAAUGUAUGGUUAUUUGAUCCAUUUCUAUUGAUUAUAAGAUUAAGUUACUUUAGGGAUAACAGCGUAAUUUUUUUGGGGAGUUCAUAUUUAUAAAAGAGUUUGCGACCUCGAUGUUGGAUUAAAAUUUAAUUUGGGUGUAGAAGUUCAAAUUUUUGGUCUGUUCGACCAUUAAAAUUUUACGU
rnacentral:rRNA from 1 species